CCUACGGGAGGCAGCAGUGAGGAAUAUUGGUCAAUGGGCGAGAGCCUGAACCAGCCAAGUCGCGUGAAGGAUGACGGCCCUACGGAUUGUAAACUUCUUUUGUCAGGGAGCAAUUGAGUCCACGUGUGGGCUUAGCGAGAGUACCUGAAGAAAAAGCAUCGGCUAACUCCGUGCCAGCAGCCGCGGUAAUACGGAGGAUGCGAGCGUUAUCCGGAUUUAUUGGGUUUAAAGGGUGCGUAGGCGGAAUAUCAAGUCAGCGGUAAAAAUUCGGGGCUCAACCCCGUCGUGCCGUUGAAACUGAUGUU
rnacentral:rRNA from 1 species